rnacentral:rRNA from 1 species
AACAGGAUUAGAUACCCUGGUAGUCCACGCCGUAAACGAUGAGUGCUAAGUGUUAGAGGGUUUCCGCCCUUUAGUGCUGAAGUUAACGCAUUAAGCACUCCGCCUGGGGAGUACGGCCGCAAGGCUGAAACCCAAAGGAAUUGACGGGGGCCCGCACAAGUGGUGGAGCAUGUGGUUUAAUUCGAAGCAACGCGAAGAACCUUACCAGGUCUUGACAUCCUCUGACAACCCUAGAGAUAGGGCUUUCCCUUCGGGGACAGAGUGACAGGUGGUGCAUGGUUGUCGUCAGCUCGUGUCGUGAGAUGUUGGGUUAAGUCCCGCAACGAGCGCAACCCUUGAUCUUAGUUGCCAGCAUUCAGUUGGGCACUCUAAGGUGACUGCCGGUGACAAACCGGAGGAAGGUGGGGAUGACGUCAAAUCAUCAUGCCCCUUAUGACCUGGGCUACACACGUGCUACAAUGGAUAGUACAAAGGGUUGCAAGACCGCGAGGUGGAGCUAAUCCCAUAAAACUAUUCUCAGUUCGGAUUGUAGGCUGCAACUCGCCUACAUGAAGCCGGAAUCACUAGUAAUCGCGGAUCAGCAUGCCGCGGUGAAUACGUUCCCGGGCCUUGUACACACCGCCCGUCACACCACGAGAGUUUGUAACACCCGAAGUCGGUGGGGUAACCGUAAGGAGCCAGCCGCCUAAGGUGGGACAGAUGAUUGGGGUGAAGUCGUAACAAGGUAACC